GCUUUAGUACGGCGAGUGAAGCGGCAAAAGCUCAAAUUUGAAAUCUGGUACCUUCGGUGCCCGAGUUGUAAUUUGGAGAGGGCAACUUUGGGGCCGUUCCUUGUCUAUGUUCCUUGGAACAGGACGUCAUAGAGGGUGAGAAUCCCGUGUGGCGAGGAGUGCGGUUCUUUGUAAAGUGCCUUCGAAGAGUCGAGUUGUUUGGGAAUGCAGCUCUAAGUGGGUGGUAAAUUCCAUCUAAAGCUAAAUAUUGGCGAGAGACCGAUAGCGAACAAGUACAGUGAUGGAAAGAUGAAAAGAACUUUGAAAAGAGAGUGAAAAAGUACGUGAAAUUGUUGAAAGGGAAGGGCAUUUGAUCAGACAUGGUGUUUUGUGCCCUCUGCUCCUUGUGGGUAGGGGAAUCUCGCAUUUCACUGGGCCAGCAUCAGUUUUGGUGGCAGGAUAAAUCCAUAGGAAUGUAGCUUGCCUCGGUAAGUAUUAUAGCCUGUGGGAAUACUGCCAGCUGGGACUGAGGACUGCGACGUAAGUCAAGGAUGCUGGCAUAAUGGUUAUAUGCCGCCCGUCUUGAAACCCCGAAAACA
rnacentral:rRNA from 1 species